UACAGAGGGUGCGAGCGUUGUUCGGAAUUAUUGGGCGUAAAGGGCGCGUAGGCGGCCUGAUAAGUCAAAGGUGAAAUCCCUCGGCUCAACUGAGGAAUUGCCUUUGAAACUGUCAGGCUUGAGGCCGGGAGGGGGUGGCGGAAUUCCCAGUGUAGCGGUGAAAUGCGUAGAUAUUGGGAGGAACACCAGUGGCGAAGGCGGCCACCCUGGACCGGUUCGACGCUGAUGCGCGAAAGCGUGGGGAGCAAAC
rnacentral:rRNA from 1 species